ensembl:lncRNA
CACAAACGGCCCAGUUGGAGGAAAGGAGGUCCGGAGCCAGGAGGGGCAGGGCGAACGGGCCUGGGCGUACCCUCCAGGCUCGGUUUUUCCUGCCGCCCUCCCUGCCUUCCUCGACCUGCCAGCCAGCCAAGCAAGGAGCGAGCAGGAGCCAAGGCGCCUGAGAGGCCCGCUGGCCCCGCGGUUCCUCGCCUCAGGGUUUUUACGCGGCAGAGGCGAGUUGGGCCUUUCCGAAAGCAGGGUGUAUGUGUGUGUGGGGGGGAAGAGGGUACGGGGGACCAGCUCGCCACUCCCUGGAGCCGAGGGGCGGUUUCCCGAGCGUGCCCAGCAGGAUCAGGGGCGUGGUGCGAGGCUCGCCCCUCACAUCAAAGCUUAUGGGCCGUUUAAAAAGGAGCUCAGCCAGCCGAGAAGAUGUCAUACAACAAGCCUGUGAAGUAGGCUGGGCUGAGACUGUGACUAGCCAAGUCCUGUGAACGUCCCUUCUGAGAGAUGAAGCAGCUCAUGACUGGAAAAGGAGCAGUCUACCACCUGAAAUCUUAAGGUGAAGCAUACCUCUCCCCGCUAAUCCAACACUGCAGGCCAACACGAUAAAUGAGGUUUGCACCAACACAGGAAAAGCUAGAUACACUAUAUAGAGAUGCAUCUUUUGUUUACAUAACACUGUGUCUGCACUGCAAAAAAAUAUAUGCCCCAUCAUGAAAGAUAAGCCUGAUUAUAGGAGACAGCACUAAAUCUAUCUUUGUAUCUUCCAAAGGUACACAGAACUUUGUAUACCAUUUAGUUGGAUGUGGGAUACGUACAGCAUGUUAUGGAGACGAGUCUCAUCGUCACUGGCAUAUUGAUGCUCCCAUCAAAGGUCUGCAGGGCAGAAAGGGGAAGGGGGAAAAACUGGACAAUUUUAUUAAUACUGUAAGCUGUGAGAGAGAACAGAAAGGUAAAGAUAAGAUUUGAGGGCUGCAGGGCUAAAACACGAAACAAGGGAGUAAGCCUUUAUUUUUCAGAAUAGCAGCACCUUCAAAUAUCAGGACAUUUUCUCCAGUAAACAUAUAUAGGAUUGCAGUGUUAUACAACUCCAAAAAUAGGGUGAGGAAUUUCUCUUUUUAGUAGACACUUGCUGUUGCCUUUUUAAAAUUGGAGCAAAGGCAUUAAGCUCCAAGUUGGGUGGUACCAAGUCAAGCACAAUCCUGCUUCUUCACUUUCCAACAAAGUACACAUGGAUUCAGUCCUUUCAUGCCCUCAGCAUGUACACUUUUAUUAUUUUCAACAUGACAGCAAAGAGCAAGCCAUUGCCAUGCUUUGGGGCAGGGAGCCUUUAGCUUUUCAGUUAUUGAGGAACAACUGUUCCCACGAUGCCUUACCACAGGCCAGACUGGCUGGGCCUGAUGGGAACUGAGAUUGAGCAACAUCUGGAGGUCCACAAGCUCUCUAGCUUGGGUGUCAAUUGUGCCUGAGCAUGAAUGCCAGGAAUAUUUACCAAUGUGGAUGCUGGGCAUGUGCAGAGUGUGUUUGCCACCCUCAUCAACAAACAGAGAAGGGAAAUUUCUCUAUUUUGAAUUAAAAUUCCCAGAAUUUCACAGGUGCAGGAGGGAUAGAGCACUCUGAGGACUGUCAUGGGUGGGGUGGGGAAGGAAUUUUUUUUAUCCUUUGUCAAUAGCGACAGAGUCCACCCCCCACCUCCAAUCUCCCCAUGUGUGGCAGAAUUAUGGAGCAGGUUUUCUCAAGUCAAAAUGUGUGAGUGGAGAUUCGGUGCCUUUUAAUUUCAGAAGUGAAGCGAGGCAGGUAACCAGUCUUGGCCUGCUAUUGCAUCUGGCAUGCAUUGAGCUGCCCUGCUCCUCUGAUGAACAUAUCGUAAGACAGAGCUUUCUCUGGAUCCCUGCCACAAUCGCUUCCCAGGGUCUGACAAUGAGAAAUGUUGUUGCGUUCCUGGAAAUGAGACGAUUGGGGGCUCAGCCAAGGUGCUAAAAGUCUUCCAGUUGUUGAGUUCUUUUUCUGCUCCCCACUGGGCUUUAUCUGGCUCAAAAUGCACUGAAUGCAAAGGGAAUUAAGAUGUUCAGCAAGCUGCAAGAUUGGAAGCUAACUAGAAGGGAACUAGAGAAAAGGAUAUUGGGCCUCCUAAACCUUCAGGGAUUACCUUUUGGAGGGGGGAGAGGCUUAGAGUGUCUCCAUGUUAGGCACCCAGUAUCUUAAAGGUUAAUUCUUUUCCUAAUGCUGUUACCAGCAUAGACUCCUCUCGAGAGUUAAAGAUUAGACGAAACCUCUGGGAAGGGAGCUGAGAGGAGGAAAAAAACCUAACAAAUACCCUCAGAAGGUCAGAUGACAAGGACUACUUUGUUGAGCUCAUUGUGGCUUUGGAUGCAUGUUGGACAUGACUGGCAAUAUUUUAAUUUCUAUUCCAGGGUGCAAAGCUGGAAGAGGUAGCCUGUUAUAUUUCAAAUCUUUCAGCAUACAUAAAUACUUAUAUCAAAUAACAUUCGGAGUAUCCUAAAAUCCACAGCAUGUUUAUGUGCUGCCACGUAGAAUGCAACCUAUGGUAACCAUAAUAGAAUUUCCAAGGUAUACUUUAAAAGUGGUUUUCCACUGCAGACUUCUUCCCCCUUGCACCACAAGUUUCCACAGCUAAGCAGGGAUUUGAACUCAGGUCUCCUGCAUCUUAGUCUGUCACUCUAACUACUAUACCACGUUGGCUCUUUUUUAGGAGCACAUGAAAUAUCACCACAGAAAUGAGCAUGCAAAUAAGAAAUUAAACAAAAUGAAGAUGGAAGAAAACUCAAAAUGUUGCAAUUGCCUUCCAGGGCUGUCGUGUUUAACCCCAGAUGAAAUACAAAAGACAUUUUGCAGGCAUCACCUUUAGAUUAACCUCUAAGAUGCAUAUGCAGGGCUACUGGAAAAUAAAUGCAAAAAUAAUACAAAAUCCA